rnacentral:lncRNA from 1 species
GUCGUUCAGCCAUCCUUACUACUUCUGUUCCGGCAUUACCAGGCUCUUCUGUAAUUGUAUAACACCUGUUUGUCUCCCCUACUUGUCUGAGAACUCAGAAGGCAGGAACUGGGUGAGGCAAGUAGAAGACACUCAAUGAACAGCUGUUGAGUGAACCAGGGAACAUCAUCUCUAAGGGGAAGGAAUCAGGGAAUUUUCAGCUCCAAUCUUCCUGUGUAAUUGUUGAUGAGAAAAAUCUAUAUUCAUCUUCACUGCAUUUACACAGUUGACAAGAACGGUCUUAUUUAUAGAAGCCACUUUAUGGUGUUAUUUUUCACGAUAUAGUUACAUUCUCAAACUUGCAUGUUCUCUUGAAACCAAUGAGAGGGGUGGUGAGCAUAGGAAGUGUAGUGGAAACAAAGUAGAUGUGAUGAAAAAUGGCGCAAGAUUCUGGGUUGAUUUUACUCUUAUUUCAAUUUACAUUUACAUUUUUUGAGUAUGUACAAUAUUCUAGACUGUUUCAAGGAUACUAGACUUUGUAUCUGAUUUCAAAGAAUUUAUACUGUCAUGGUGAGGAGGGGGACAGAAAGGAGACUUCUUAAGUAACCAAAGAAAUUAGAGAACAAGAAAAAACUGUAUGUAACAAAAUAUCCAACUGAAUUGUGAGGUGGUACAGCUUAGUCUUUAGAGGCACAGGCUUUUAAAUCAGACUAGGACUGGUACUGGUUCUACCAUUACUAGCUCUGAGAUCCUGGAGAAGUUAUGUGACCUAAUCUUAUUUAUUUAUUUGCAAAGUGGGAAUGACAAUAAUUAUAUUUACACUAUAAGGUUAUGAGAUUAAAUAAUAUUCAUGUACACUGUAUAUCCCACAAGGAGUAUCAGAUCAAUGAAUGAUAAUGAUAAUUAUAUAAUAAUUAUAAUCUUAGUGAUUAAAGGUGACAAUGGAAAGGACUAGGAAAACAGCUCCAGUAACUGAGGCUAUUUUAAAAUUUCUGUUUCUAAUCCACAUGAAAUAGAAUGUUUUGCUAAAAGAUGGUAUUGGUUACUUGUAGACAAAUUAAAAUCAUAUAAUCGAUAGGCUUUGAUAAAAAACAUUGAGAACAGUGCUUGCUUUGGCAAACAUUACUAAGUGAACAUCUUGAACUUUCUUCUCAAAAGAACACAGUUAAGAGUCCAGAGAGUUGCUUUAUUUCUGACAACCAAAAGGGCUAUCUUCCUUGUCCAAAUUAUAACCAUGCAGUCCAAGGGAAAUACGUGUACUUUUAGAGAACAACAGCUUUGAUUCUGGGAAAGGAAAUACAUGCUAUAGAGAGUAGCCCUGAGAAAUUGUUGAAGUUUGAUAAUGUUGCAAAACUGAAUUUCUAUUUGUGACCAACAUAAACAUUUUUCUUCCCUUUAGAAUAUGAGCUCCAGUCUUUUGGAGAAAAUCUUUUUCUCUUCCUGAUAUUGGCUAUUCAUUUUAUGUUUUACUGAGAAUGAGGACAGUCCACGUGAAUUCUCUCAAUAUCUCUUGAAGGGUUACCCUCUUUUCCUUUUUUCUACCUCAGCACAAGGUAACUUGCUUUUUUCCUUGCCAAGAACACUGCUCUUAAUUCUAUUACUGCUCACCUCCUCUCAGUUUUGCUCCAUCCUUUAAGCCCUAUCUUUCUUCCAUCUUCAAUCUCCAAUCUCUCCUCCUCUGCCACAAAUAUGGCCAGCCCUCUGUAUCCUAAAAUAACCCCCCUCUGACCCUGCUGCUGUAGCAGGUUACUGCCUUAUCUUUCUUCCGUUUAUUACCACACUUCUUCUAAAAGAAUACAAAUUCUGCUUUCACUUCCUGCUUAUACAUUCACUUCUUAACCCCUUGUAAUAUGGUUUCUACCUUUACCCCUCUAUGAAACCACCUUCUGGAAAAUCACUGAGAGUUUAGUUUCAUAUCCAACAAAUCUAAUGGACUUGUCUCAGUCCUCAUUCUCCCUGUUGUCUCUGCAGAAAUUUCAGUUUGUUGAAUGUUCUCCUUCUAUAGCCUCUGUGAUACCAUAGCCUGCUGGUUCUUUUAUCUUUCUGGAAACUUCUCUUCCACCUCCUUCACUAGCUGCUUUUUCUUUCUACUGCUCCAUAAAUAAAAUAAAAUCUUCUCCACAUUCUUUGCCUCAUGUGACUUCUUAUCUACUCACAUUGCUUUACACAUGAAUUUCUUCAAUCUUUUUUCCCUUCAUCUCAAAAUCUUUCUCCUGAUGAUUCUAAAAUCUAGCAAUUUCCAAUUGCUGUUAAGACUUUCUUACUUAGGUAACCAGCCAGGAUUUUAAACUCAGUGUAUCUAAAAUGAAGCCCAUUAACUUAUGUUCAUCAAACUCCAAACUCCAACUGAUUGUCUCUAUUUUGUUUUUAUAAAUGACACCACUAUUAAUGAAUCAUCUUUCACAACUCACAAGUAAUUUUUUAUUCGUCCUUACUUCUCACACCCUGUGCCUACUAAAUUAUGGAGUAAGGAAGAUUCUAUAGGCUUUGUGGUACACAGGGUGGGAAGAGCAUCUAUUUUGCUGUCAGAUAAGUCUGAGUUCAGAUCAUGGUUUUGCUACUUACUACCCUUUUGGUCUUGAGCCAGUUAGUUAAGCUCACCAGAGUCUUGAUAUCCUUAUGUAUAAAGCAGGGAAUAUAACAUUCCCUACCUAGCCAAUUGAGAGGAUUGGAUGAGAGCUGCACAUUUUAUGUGGAGUCCUAAAUAAAUACUGAUCUCAUUCUUUUCCCUAAUCGUGGUUAUGCCUCUCAUACUCACUUUUCUUUUCCAUUAAAUGGAAUAAUAUGCAUCAAGGACCUCAUGCAGUUCCUGAAAUGCAGAUGCUCAUUCCACGUUUUUUUUCUCCUUUCUUCCUUCCGUUGUGGCCUGCUCAGUUCAGGACUGUGUUGCUUCUUGUCUGGACAAUUGUUGCGGCUCCCGACAUGGCUCUUGCUCCUGCUUCAGACAUUUGGAUUCACCGCAUUCACUGCUGGUUGGUUUUUCUUCCUCAUGUGUGCUCUGAUUAGGACACCCUUCUGCUCAGAAGACUUCACUUAUUCAUCAUUUCCAAGAAAAUGAAGUAGGAAAACAUGUGGACCAAGUUAUCUUAGAGACAUAUGUGCCAUGACUUUCUUACAUGUGAGGUCUAUUUUGGCCAAGUGGUACCAUUCACUGUUCCUUCAACAUGUCCUUACUUUUCUAUUCUAUUAACUUUCCUCCUGGGUCUAGGAUUGACAACGAUGCAGUCUCAAUCUUUGAAAUCUAUUUCUACCAUGAUGCUUUCCCUGAUUCUUUAAACAUAUGGGAUUUCUCUCUGCUUUGGCCCCCAAAAGACUUUGCACCUCUCAUGUUCACCUUAGUUCUCAUUUUAGUGGUUAUUUAUUUACUUGUUCACACUUACCCAUUCCUCCCUUCAUGAUACAAUAAGGUUUUGAGCCUGUGUCUAAUUAAUAUAUCUAUAUUUUUAAGUAGCUAGUCUUGCAGGCCCUGAAAACCUUUUGGUUCAAUUAAAAUAGUUUAACUUUGAUAUACAGACCUAUGCUUGAAAGUGAAAGUCUUAUAGACAACAGAACCACUGUUUAUGAGAAGAGAAAGAGAAAAGAUAAGAGGAAUAAUAAGAAAAAAGGGCAGCUUCCUUGGGUUAUGAGGUAAUUAUUGGAAUUCGGUCAGAAAAGUAAGAAAUAGAAAUAAGUACGUGUCCCAAGAGAAGCAGCAAUACCUAGGAUUAUGCUGACAGAGUGAGGGGGAUUUAAAAGCAGUCUCCAUUCUAAUGCUUUUUAAAUUCUCGGCAUAGUGUAAUGAUUACUAUUCCAAAACAGAAGAUAUGUUGGCAAACUGCCCUGUAUUUGAAAAUAGAGGAAAUGCCCUGGAAAGAAUGAGAUGUGGUAAAGAGAGGAAAUGACAAUGUACUGAAAAGACUGGGCUGUAAGUCAUCACAGCGGCGCCCUGAAACCCGAUAUGUCAGGCAAGCUGGUGGGAUCCUGGGAUCCCUCAUGUAACGGCACUCAUUCUGACAGAAGCAGAGAUAAAACAGACUAAGUACACAGAGGAGUUUAAGGUUUCGUGAAUGUAAGUGCUGAGUACAGAAUGGUGCUCAAUAAAAGCUUGUUAAUUGAUGGACCACAGGUUUGUGACAAGACUUCUCAGAGUCUGAUUCUUUCAAGGUGGGAUAUAAGAGUAAGUAAAUGGCAUGGGGAAAAUCUGAUUGCCACAGACAGAAGAAUGAAACUGGAUGCCUAUUUCUCACAAUACACAAAAGCGAUUCAAGAUUAAAGACUUAACUGUAAGACUUGAAACUGUAAAAAUACUAGAAGAAAAUCUAGGGAAAACUGUUCUGGACAUUGGCCUAGAAAAAGAAUUUCUGACUAAGACUUCAAAAGCACAGUAAACAAAAAUAGACAAACGGGACUUAAUGAAACUAAAACUCUUCUGCAGAGCAAAGAAAAUAAGAAACAGAGUGAACAGACAACCUGCAAAAUGGGAGAUAGACAAUGGAGACUAAGAAGAGCAAAGGAAUGACAGAGAGGUGGAGGAUGAGAAAUUACUUAAUGGAUACCUUGACUAUGAAUAAUAGUUUCAAUAAGGAAGACAGAAUGAGUUCUGACACGAUGGUUGGGAGCUGUGACAGGCAGACGAAAAAUGGAGCCAAAUGGCAUGGAGGUGUGUCAUCACUGCUGGAUUUUACCUUGAUCUACAUUCAGUUAUCUACUUCUUUUCAAAAUGCUGGGCAUUCAUUCAAGAAACAGCAUAUAUGUUCUGACUUUGAAGUAAUGGAUGAACUGUCAUGUGCAGUAUAUGGAAAUAAGUUUUAUUACCUUCUUCCCACAUUAACUCAUCCAUCCAUUCAAUAGCCAUUUAUUGAGAAGCUCACUCUGUGUUAGGCACAGUGGUGUCAUGAUGUUGGAACAGUAACAAUAACUCAACCAACCAGGGCUUGUCUGAAUACAAUCCUACAGCAGCAGGAGCUGUGGAGAUAUAGAAGGCAAGGAAGACCAGGUUGUGAGGGAAGACGAAUUUACUCCCAGGAAUGUUGGGAUUGAGAGUAAUAUUCUCCAAUAAUGGUGGAAGACAGAACAAUAAAAGCCCACCAGCUCCUUCUGCAUGGUGGGAUAAGAGAAAAGCCAAGGGCAGAAGUGAGAAAAAUAACCAUCACCAAACUGAAAAGAAAACCUUUAUAAAAAAACUGGAUUGAUAAAUGACCUUUAGUAGUGGAAAGAUACCAUUCCAAUGAAGCAUGAAUUGAAAGGAUUUCUUCUGAAAGCUAAUUUACAUUUUUCUUUUUUUUUUUUUCAUUUUCAGUGUGUUUUAGCAGGUGUAUUGUUCUACAUGGUUAGUUUCUUUACCUCUUUGAGAAAAAUGGGUCAGCUUGACACAUCUGGAUGAAAGAAUCCGUUAGGUGAUUAUGAUUGAAGACAGAUUAAGCCUUGUUAUGAGGGGAAUAUUUGGGGGCUUACCCUGAGGUGAUAUUUGAUGAUUUAGCUGUGGGAGAAUUUCCCUCCCAAGAUCAGCGUGACUGACACUGAAAUUGCUACAGGGGAACCGGACCUUUCCAAGAGGUGACAAGGACAUUUACCUGGUACAACACAAUGGUUCUGGACUGGAAGUCUAGUCCCAUUGAUGAAGUUCCCAAAAGAUGUCCAGGUCCUAAUCCCUGGAAUCUGUGAAUAUGUCAUCUUACACAUCAAAAGAACUUUGAAAAUGUGAUUGAGGUUAAGGACCUUGGAAUGAGGAGAUUACCUUGGAUUAUCUGGUUGGGUCCAAGCUAAUCACAUGAGUCCUUAAAGGAGAAGAACCUUUUUUAGCUGGGUCAGAGAGAGAUGUGAUGAUGAAAACAGGCUCAGGGAGAUGCACUGUAAGAAGGGCUUGACCAGUUGUUUUUGACUUUGAAGAUGGAGGGAAGGGCCAGGAGCCAAGGAAGGUGGGUGGCUUUUGGAAGGUGGAAAAAGCAAGGGAACAUUCUCUCCAGAGCCUCCAGAAAGGAGCUCAGCCCUGUUGACAUCUUUGUUUUUAUUUUUUAUUUUUAGUAGCAUUGAGGUCUCACUAUGUUGCACAGGCUGGUCUUGAACUCUUGAGCUCAAGCACUCCUCCCGCCUUGGCUUCCCAAAGUGCUGGGAUUAUAGGCAUGUGCCACCACAUCUGGCUUCCUACUGACAUCUUAACUUUAGUGCAGUGAGACUCAUAUUUGAAUUUCUGACCUUAUAUUAUAGAACCAUAAGACAUUAUAGAAUUAUAUAGAAUUAUAGAACCAUAAGACAAUAACUUUGUGUUGUUUUAAGAUACUAAAUUUUUGGUAAUUUGUUAUGGCAGCACAAUAAAACCAAUAUAGCAUUAUAUUAUGCCAAUAUCAUCUCUUUGUUGACUAUUGCUAUUAUAGUUUGUUUUAUGGGUCUUGUGUAAACAAUCAAGCUAUAAUAUUGGGUUAACUCCCUAAGGAAAACUUGGAAUAUAGAACAUUAUUUUAAAGACUGAAUUAGGUAAAUACACCUGCCAGUGAAUACAUUAACAAAUUAAUUAAUAUAUUCACUCUUUUCACUCACAAAUACUUUUUGAGCCCCUAUUACUAGCCAAACAUUUUGUUAGAUUCUGAGAAGGGUCUGCUAGACAACAUUGUGACUAUAGUUAAUAACAAUAUAUUGUACUCUUGAAAAUUACUAAGAGAGUAGAUUUUAAGUGUUCUCACCACAAAAAAUAAGUAUGUGAGGUAAUGCAGAUGUUAGUUAGCUUGAUUUAGCCAUUCCCCAGUGUAUACAUAUUUCAAACCUUCAUAUUAUACAUGGAUAAAUAUAUACAAUUUUUAUUUGUCAAUUAAAAGCCCCUCGAUGAAUACAGUUUCCAUUCUGUCCUUGAGGUGGAGCUUGUAGACUUGGUGGGGUCCGGGGAUCAACUUUUAAACAGGCAGUUCCAAAGUGUGGAGUGGAUAGGCUUAUUCUCUUUGUUGCUUUUAUGAUAGGUAUUUAGAAUGCACUUUCCUCUGUUAAGUUAAGCCAGCCACCAUUCCCUCAUUCAGUUUCCAUCCUCCAUGAAUUUGCUCACAUCUGCGGUCUACUGUCACUCAUUCUUUCCUUCUCUUCCUGAGGGCUUGUGUGACUUAUGUUCUUGGCUUUCUCUUAGGAACAUGGUGCAGCUUGGCCCUGCAUUAUCCAUCUGGAAAAACAGAUCAUAAAACAGUCCUUCUCUGUACUAAGUGCUAAAGUAGGAGGAAGGGCAUAAGUCAGCUCCCUGAGCUAUAUAUCCUUGUUUUCAGGAGCUGAGCUAGACACAAGCAGAACUUGCAAAUAAUUUACAUUUCUUUCUGCUGAGGUGGUUCAGAAUAAGUUGCAACAAACAUGAACAGGAAUGGUGCAGUAAAU